UGGGGAAUAUUGCACAAUGGGCGCAAGCCUGAUGCAGCCAUGCCGCGUGUAUGAAGAAGGCCUUCGGGUUGUAAAGUACUUUCAGUCGGGAGGAAGGUGUCAAGGUUAAUAACCUUGGCAAUUGACGUUACCGACAGAAGAAGCACCGGCUAACUCCGUGCCAGCAGCCGCGGUAAUACGGAGGGUGCAAGCGUUAAUCGGAAUUACUGGGCGUAAAGCGCACGCAGGCGGUUGAUUGAGUCAGAUGUGAAAUCCCCGGGCUUAACCCGGGAAUUGCAUCUGAUACUGGUCAGCUAGAGUCUUGUAGAGGGGGGUAGAAUUCCAUGUGUAGCGGUGAAAUACGUAGAGAUGUGGAGGAAUACCGGUGGCGAAGGCGGCCCCCUGGACAAAGACUGACGCUCAGGUGCGAAGGCGUGGGGAGCAAACAGG
rnacentral:rRNA from 1 species